CCUACGGGAGGCAGCAGUGGGGAAUAUUGCACAAUGGGGGAAACCCUGAUGCAGCGACGCCGCGUGAGCGAUGAAGUCUUUCGGUAUGUAAAGCUCUAUCAGCAGGGAAGAAAAUGACGGUACCUGACUACGACUCCCCGGCUAACUACGUGCCAGCAGCCGCGGUAAUACGUAGGGGGCAAGCGUUAUCCGGAUUUACUGGGUGUAAGGGAGCGUAGACGGUCCUGCAAGCCAGAUGUGAAAGCCCGGGGCUCAACCCCGGGACUGCAGUUGGAACUGUAAGGCUAGAGUGUCGGAGAGGCAGGCGGAAUUCCUAGUGUAGCGGUGAAAUGCGUAGAUAUUAGGAGGAACACCAGUGGCGAAGGCGGCCUGCUGGACGAUGACUGACGUUGAGGCUCGAAAGCGUGGGGAGCAAACAGGAUUAGAUACCCGGGUAGUC
rnacentral:rRNA from 1 species